rnacentral:piRNA from 1 species
GAAACUUGCUGACCUUGGGACAAGGUUUCCA